UAUUAGGCUAAUAUUCCUGAGACAGAACAAUGAAUUCCAUAAAGUUGACUAGGUUAAAUUUAGGACUGUUCUUCACUUAAAUUAGCUAAACUGACUUCAAAAGACUGUGGCACAUGGAUGUAUAUGAUGACAGUAAUUGUGCUGACAACAUUCAGUGUGUCAGUCUUGUGCUGACUGUAAAAAAAAA